UGGACUUUAUUCGCGCAGUAUAGGUGGGAGGCGUUGAAGAUAAUCUUGUGGGAUUAUUGGAGCCAUCAGUGAGAUACCACUCUUGUAAUGUUAGAUUUCUAACUUUGAAUCAUGAUCUGGUCAAAGGACAGUUUCAGGCGGGCAGUUUGACUGGGGCGGUCGCCUCCUAAAUGGUAACGGAGGCGUACAAAGGUUUCCUCUGAACGGGUAGAAAUCGUAUCUAGAGUGUAAAGGCAUAAGGAAGCUUGACUGUGAGACCUACAAGUCGAGCAGGGACGAAAGUCGGUCUUAGUGAUCUGACGGUACUGAGUGGAAAGGCCGUCACUCAACGGAUAAAAGUUACUCUAGGGAUAAC
rnacentral:rRNA from 1 species